CGCUGGCGGCGUGCUUAACACAUGCAAGUCGAACGAUGAGCCCAGCUUGCUGGGUGGAUUAGUGGCGAACGGGUGAGUAACACGUGAGCAACCUGCCCCUGACUCUGGGAUAAGCGCUGGAAACGGCGUCUAAUACUGGAUACGAACCAUGAAGGCAUCUUCAGUGGUUGGAAAGAUUUAUUGGUUGGGGAUGGGCUCGCGGCCUAUCAGCUUGUUGGUGAGGUAAUGGCUCACCAAGGCGUCGACGGGUAGCCGGCCUGAGAGGGUGACCGGCCACACUGGGACUGAGACACGGCCCAGACUCCUACGGGAGGCAGCAGUGGGGAAUAUUGCACAAUGGGCGCAAGCCUGAUGCAGCAACGCCGCGUGAGGGAUGACGGCCUUCGGGUUGUAAACCUCUUUUAGCAGGGAAGAAGCGAGAGUGACGGUACCUGCAGAAAAAGCACCGGCUAACUACGUGCCAGCAGCCGCGGUAAUACGUAGGGUGCAAGCGUUAUCCGGAAUUAUUGGGCGUAAAGAGCUCGUAGGCGGUUUGUCGCGUCUGCUGUGAAAUCUGGGGGCUCAACCCCCAGCCUGCAGUGGGUACGGGCAGACUAGAGUGCGGUAGGGGAGAUUGGAAUUCCUGGUGUAGCGGUGGAAUGCGCAGAUAUCAGGAGGAACACCGAUGGCGAAGGCAGAUCUCUGGGCCGUAACUGACGCUGAGGAGCGAAAGGGUGGGGAGCAAACAGGCUUAGAUACCCUGGUAGUCCACCCCGUAAACGUUGGGAACUAGUUGUGGGGUCCAUUCCACGGAUUCCGUGACGCAGCUAACGCAUUAAGUUCCCCGCCUGGGGAGUACGGCCGCAAGGCUAAAACUCAAAGGAAUUGACGGGGACCCGCACAAGCGGCGGAGCAUGCGGAUUAAUUCGAUGCAACGCGAAGAACCUUACCAAGGCUUGACAUAUACGAGAACGGGCCAGAAAU
rnacentral:rRNA from 1 species